GCACCCUCUUGGCCACGGACGGCCAGAACCACAGUGCCGAUCUUUGCUUGGAGUUCUUGGGAGGCCUAUUUGUUCGUUUUUGAACACCCGGCCAUCCUUGGUGUUGGCAGCCCAGACGAUCGACGCUAAUGUGCAAAAGCCCUGCACCAGGGAAGGGGCUGGACUGUAAAUAGGAAUGUUCUGGAACGUGCCGGAACCUGUGAUGUCUUCAUUCCAUUUCACAGACCCCGAUGGGGCAGAGAGGCAGGGACUUGCUAAAAAGUCCCAGAGCCAGCACAUGUUGUAAAGGUAGGACUCACACCCAGAUCUCUGGGUUCUGAGCCCAAAGGUGCCCUCUCUGAUAUCUUCUGGCGCUCUACAACCUGGCCAGGGCCCAAGGGUCACCAAACCUUUGCUCCUCUGGGAAGAAAGCCCAGGCAGAAGCCGCCUCCCGGUCUCCAGGGAACGAAUGCCCUGUCAUUGACCAUCAUAGCCUAGAGGAUGCUGGGAAACACCCUCUCAGGUGACCCCUGGCCCCGCAGAUACCCGGGCGGCCCCGGCGGCACUGGAUGAGCCAGACCGUGACUUUGUACAGGAAGAGCUCGCCUUUUCUAGAAUCUUCUGUAAACGGAAACUUACAGUAUGCAGCCCCUCGAGUCUGGCUAUGUUCACUGAGCGUAACGGGUUGGCCAUCCAUCCGUCGGCCAUUGCUUGCAUGUUCGCGGCUCGUGCCUCUUUAUUGCUGGGUAGGAUCCCACUGAACGGAGAGACCUCAGUCUAUUUUUCCCCUCCACCCGUUGACGGACAGCUGGGCUGGUUCCAAUUUGGGGCUGCGAUGAAUAAAGCUGCCAUACUGUUGGCCUAUGAGUCUCUGUAU